GGAUGUGAGGGCGAUCUGACUUCAACAUCUGUCACCCCAUUGAUCUCCAGGGUUGAUCUGGCUGGCCAAGCGGGUGUCCCCUUACUCCCUCACCGCUCCAUGUGUGUCCCUCCAGAAGCUGCAUGCUGGGUUGAAGAGGACCACCUUCCCUGAAUAGAGGAGGACCGGUCUUUGGUCAAGGGUAUAAGAGUAGCUGCGCUCCCCUGCUAGAACCUCCAAACAAGCUCUCAAGAAUGAAGGGCAAUUGUGAGUGUGGUAGAUGCUUCCUGGGGGGUUGGGAAGGGCAGAGGAGCAUAUUUUGAAGAGCAUACCUGUGCUUCAUGAGGAAGGCUGGUUCCAG
ensembl:misc_RNA 7SK 7SK RNA